GGAAGAAGGAACUGGAAAAGGAGAAGAGUUGAGAAAAAAGUUUUAGAAAAGCACAGGAUUUAUUCCUUGGUCAGUUCACUGAUGGAAAAGGCUUCUGUUAAUCCUGUGAGGGGCACAGAGGACACCGGAAGCCGAUGGAAAGAUCUAGAGUCGUUAGUUGGUGGAGGAACUUCAGUGGGAAAAUAACAUCUGGCUGUCAGCACAGCCGAAGCAGUUUUAUCACAGCGGACUACAUAAGGCCUGAAGCUAGCUAUGAAACAGAGGACGUGUCUGCUGAACACGGAGGUGGAAGGAGUGUUGUUAGAGAGAUCUUCACAUCUCCACGCCACCAGCUGGAUGUCCCACGUCCCCAUGACACCCCUCCCCUAGCCAGCUUCUGUCCCACUGAUCUGUCUUCUGUCCGCAGUCUCCUGUCAACAGCAGUGCUUAUCUGAGGAAGUGCAUAAU